GUCAGACAACUGUUGAUAAGUUCUGGUGUCUGUGCUCCGUCUAGACUGCUGAUUUUAUUUUGGGACGAUGGCUUCUUGGACAGACUACAUAAAUUGAAUAUUUUAUAAACAUUCUAAUGCUGCGUUAGGGAGCCUUGGCGAGGUGGUGGGUCGGGUCCCUGCACGGCCCGGGAUACAGCCUUGAUCUUAAAGACGCAGCGCUUUGGAAACAAAAGGCCUGGCAGGCCCGCCGCUGGACACCAGCGCUGGGCAAGGAGCAUCGAGCUGCAGGACAGAGCGCUGGGUCCCGGCCGCCGUUGACGCCCCUCCGAAAACAGCCGGGAGGAAGACCAGUCCCGCUCCGGUCGAGGCAAGUCAGGAUCUAUUCCAGUGAAGCGGCCCUUCCUGGGCUCAGUCGCUCCAGAGCAGAGUCUGCUCUGCCUCGGGGAAAGAAUCACAGGAAACUUCCGCUCGUUUCAGAGCGGAGAGAGCUCGGGGCGCCAUUUCCGCCAGGGCCACCGACUCCGAGAGUCCAGGCAGCCGGCCCGGGAGGAGCGGCUAGCAGGUCCCGAAGGCGGGUGAGGUGGCAGGCAGGGGCCGGCAGGGCAGCCGAGGGCCUUUCCUACGUCAUGCCAAGAGGGCUGGGAGCCCCUAGAGCUGAUCCUCCCUUAGCCCAGGUCAAGAGACUGGCUCGCGCGCGCUGUCUCUCUCCCUGUCUCCCUCAGAGGGCCCCUGCUCUCUGGAGCUCUUGACAAGAGCCCGAGGCUCCUCUUGCCGCCUAGGUCUGCCGAAAGUCCCCUCGGGUUCCCUCCUGCCCUAGGCAGCAGUUCCCUGCCUGUGCGCUUUGGGAACCCGGUGGCCGUGAAGUGAGGUGCGGACAGCUUCUGGGCCGCCUCGGCCAAGAUGCUCAGGCGCACCUGGGGGUGUGUGCGGGAACCCUCAGCGGCAGCAGCCCAGCCCGGGGUGCAGUGUUGGCCCCAGAAACCAAUGAGGUCCAAACGCCAGUCUCAGUUCCCCAUCCCUGACAUCGACCGAGGCAAGUUCCUAUUAAGGCCCAGAGAUGACCCCGGGACGAGACAGGCUCAUCCGGCGCGGAUGAGACAGGCUCAGACCUGCGCGGUCUGAGGACGGCGCGCUCGCCGAGCAACCCGGCAGGUCAGAACCCUGGACAGCGGCGCCGGUUUCCGCACCCCCACCCACCCCCGGCUGCUGCGGAGAAAGAAGCCGUACCGGGGGCCCAGCCGGGGCCCCUCGCUGCUCAGGGGUGGGAUCCGCCCGGCCGGACCCCAGGCGUCCGGGGACCGACCCCAAUCCUCUCCCAGUCCAAACCUGCGAAAGUUACUCCGGACAUGCGCUCAGCGCUGGCAACAGAGACAAAACUCCCUUCUCCGCAGUACCACGCGCCGCUCCUACCCGGCCGCUGCAGCCGGAAACCAUCUCGCGGCCCCCGAGGAGAGUCCGGCCGCCUCACUGACUAGAUAACCAGCCGAGCUCCCUCAACACACCCACCUCGCGGGGGCUCUAAGCCGGCUUGGGACCCUCGGCCUCGCCUCGCCCGGCGCUCCUCUCCCGGAGCCGCUAGGCUGGGCUCCUUCCCGUUGGCAAAACAGCGAGUAAACAAACAACCAAACAACCUUAGAAACGAAAGGCUGCACCAAACUUUGAUGACGCCAGCCCCCUUUUUUUCCGAAUGUCUCGACACCCGGGAGAAGGUGACUAAUAGGUGUUCGCUACGGUCCCCCUCCCCCUAAAAAAGGGCGUUAGUAACGAAAAGGUUAUUUUUCCUUAAUUUUUGUGCGGUAAAAUGUAUUUUCCAAUUAACCAAAUUCGCCGAUCUGUCUCGCUUGGACACUCUGAUAAUUUACAACCUAAAAGUGUACUUUCUUUAUCUAAAGACCAAGGUGACUGCUUUUAAUUUUCUCUAACCUCUUUACACUUGAUGUUCACCAGACUCAUAAUGUUAAUUGGCUUCAUAUACGGAUCAUCAGUUUAAUGAAGAAAUAAAUCCUGUGUUGCUUUAUGUUUUAACAGUGAUUGCUUUAAUGAGGAAUGUGACGUGUUCCAAAAUCAAAGCUGCAGGAGACAUUAGAGGGGCUUCCACUAGGACAGAAAUGCUUAUUUAAAGUUAAAACCGCGGGGUCAUAUUUCAGCAGAUUCACAGUCCUCCCCACCCCCUCCCCCGCUC
rnacentral:lncRNA from 10 species